rnacentral:rRNA from 1 species
UACGUAGGGAGCCAGCGUUGUCCGGAAUUACUGGGCGUAAAGGGCUCGUAGGCGGCCAACUAAGUCAGACGUGAAAUCCCUCGGCUUAACCGGGGAACUGCGUCUGAUACUGGAUGGCUUGAGUGUGGGAGAGGGAUGCGGAAUUCCAGGUGUAGCGGUGAAAUGCGCAGAUAUCAGGAGGAACACCCGUGGCUAAGGCGGCUCUCUAGUACGGUACUGACGCUGAGACGCGAAAGCGUGGGGAGCGAACAGGG